rnacentral:lncRNA from 1 species
AGGGCCUGCUGGCCGGCCCUGCCCGCUCACCCCUGGCCGCCUAUCUUAGCGUUCCUGGGGGUGGGGCCCCUUAGGCCGCCUUUCUGAUUUUCCUUUCCAGAGCCAAACUCGUGUGUUUCUUCAACACUCUGACUUGACCUAUGCCGAUGACUGGGGGAGUGAGGACGGAGGGGUGCAGAGAAAAGGCAGCCAGGCGCAAUCGCGUUGACCUAUCGCCAUCUCUUCUUAGCUUCUCCACGCCGGGCCACCCCUGUCCUUCAUCCUGAUGGUGACAGCCUCCACUCCCGCCUCUGCCAAGCGGUGGUCCAGGUGCGGAACGGUGGCUCUGAACAGGAGGGACAGGCAGCUCCCUGCGCCUCUCCAGCCGGGAGGCAGGCAGCGGAUAAACAAUGAGCCACAUAACGUCUGGUGGUGAAAUGAUUUCCAUCAAUGGGAGGGUGUCAUAUUUGAACUGAAACUCUAAAUGACAAGAAACACCUAUGACUACAAAGAUGGGGAGGAGGCAGGGCUUUCUGGAGAGCAGAAAUGGCAGGUGCAAAGGUCCUGGGGCCGGUGCUGUGGGCUGGAGGGAAGGCAGGGGCCAAAUAUUCAGGUCUUGUAGGCCAAGGCAAGGAGUUUAGGUAUUAUUUAAAUGUUAUUCCAAACCAAUUCUUUUUGAGACAGGGUCCCACUCUGUCACCCAAGCUACAGUGCAGUGGCACAAUCUCGGUUCACUGCAGCCUUCACCUUCUGGCCUCAGGCAAUCCUCCUGCCUCAGCCUCUCAAGUAGCUGGGACCACAGGUGCAUGCCACCACGCCCAGCUAAUUUUUCAAACUAUUUGUAGAGACCAGGUCUCCCUAUGUUGCCCAGGCUGGUCUCAAACUGCUGGGCUCAAGCAGUCUUCCCACCUUGGCUUCCCAAAGUGCUGAGAUUACAGGUGUGAACCACCACGCCUGGUCCAAAAAGAAUUUUAAACCUGGGAAUUAUAUGAUCUAAUUUACUUCUUUAAAAAGUCACCCCUCCACUCCAUGGAAAAUGGACUGCAGGAGUAGAAGCCAGCAGACAGGUGGCACUGCAGGAAACCGGGGGACAUGAUGGUGGCUCAGAUUACAGGGGCUACUCAGCAAGAAGCGGAAGGACUUCAGAGAGAUUUGGAGGCAAAACCCACAGGCUUACUGAUGAAUGGAACCGGUGGAGGUGUGUGAUGCGAUACUCAAAGGCAAGUCUCAGUGUGGAGAUGGAACCGCUGCUCUGCUGAGAUGCAGAGGGCCAGGGAGGAGGCCAGCUUAGAAACAGCAUCGAAUGCGGCAGCUUAGUGAAUUGGAUAAGCCAGCAAGCUUGAGAUAGAUGUUUGGGGACAGCUGCUUGGAGAGCUUUGUCCAGGGGCGCGGCUCCCGUCCAUCUGGUCAAGUGUGGACACGCUCCCGCUGGGCUUGGGGCAGCUCCUAUCUAGGCAGCCUGUCCCAUGCUGACAUUGCAGACGUGGGAGCUACACAAAGAGAAUCUUGCAGUUUGUAGGUGAGCUACCUCCACAGGGGUUUUCUCAGAGACCAGAGUUUCAAGUGCAUCACGGCUGCCCAAAACUGCUGAGGUUGCAAGGCCCCAGAAGGAAGCCCUCCUGCACCCUCCCCUCCCACCUCCAGGGAGGAGCUGGCCUGGGAAGAAGUCUACUCUAUGUGGAAAGGCUUUCCAGGAAGCCAGUCCAACUUCAGGCCACUUAAGUUUAUUUUUUGUGUAAAAUAAGUCCAUUAUUCAAAUGUGGAGAUGGGAGGUCUGAAAAUAUAGGACAAUUCAACUCAAAGCCCUCAUUCUGAAAAUGAUGAGCUGGGGGGCCCAGCACGGCUAGGGUCAGCUCUGAUGAGCAGGGUCUGGCUGGAUUCAGAGCAAAUUAGGUCCCGCUGCUGCCCAGCCUACCACCUCGGGGAAGGCCAAGGGUUGGGGGGAGCCUUUUGUAUAAACAAGCAAUGAGAAGAAAACACUCACUAGAUCACAGUGCACUCCCAGGCGAUAAACGAAACCGGACUUUCCAAAGCCCUGGCGCUUUUGAUCAGGCACUGGCUGGAGUCCCCCUGGGAGGGCCCUUGGCUGUGCUAUCAGCAACCAGGCCUGACUGAGCAGUGACUCAGCCAGGAGAGCUGAGGCGAUCCCCCUGGCCAAUCCCAGGACCUAGCUGCACUCGGAAGAGGAGAAGGAACUCCAGGGAUGAGUAAUCUUGCUCUAGCUGACUGGAGGAGGAAGGAGGGGCUGAGUAAUGCCUUAGCAAAGCCAGCACAAGCAUCCUGAUUCUAGAGGCUCAGUUUCACAAUCCAGGAAAUGGGCUGCAGGUGCACAUGACACAGAUCUGCUUUGAGGAUGAAAAAGGCAUCAUGGGAAGCUGCUGUCACAGUUGUGGGGUUGGAAGAUUUUUCAAUUCUAAAACCCCAUAAGUUGAGGAGUGGCCAUUCCCAGAAGGAUCUGUUCACUGCUGAGCCCAGCUGGUGACAGUAGCUGUUGUAUCCCGAGAACUCUGAAGUUGUCCAGAUCAACCACCUACACAGGCCCAGAAUACCUGGGGCAAGGUAGGCGGGAAGAAUGAGCAUCCCUCUUCACGGGUGCCCUGCGAGCUACUGUAGGAAGGAGAAACACUGGCUGAUCCCCCAGGACUCUGAGCAUGGUUAGCUCUGUAACUGCCCGGGCAGAAAGGAUCCCAAAGAGAGGACAAUGAAUUCUUCCCCUAGAGGUGCAGACUUUUAUCCCUGGCACCAGUGCCUGGGGCUCCGGGGAAGGGAGGGCAUCUCCUCGGGGUCUAAGGCCACUCCUUGGUUGGGGGCCCCUCACGAGGUGACUUUGUCCUGCGCACUCUCUUAAGAACCAGGUGGGAACCAGGGGCCACCUGGUGCCGCUUCACUACCUUGGUGGCAGGGAACAGAGCAGCCUGGGAAUCCACCCAAGGUGGAAUGGGGCCCCCUGGGUGCUGUGGCUGGCUGAGCAGGGAAGUUUCAUGGGGAAGAGGCAGGUGUAAAAGGUUCUGGGUUCCGCAGGGAGAGGACAGUGAUCCUCGGAGAGCAAACAGCUGGAACCAAAGCACAGAAGGUUUUGACGGUCACCCGGGCUAUCCAGAGGCCCACUUCACAGUUAGGGCAGGGCCUGCAGAUUAGAGUUGAGGCACAGGAAGUGGCAGAGUGAUAAAGGCUGACAGCUGGACACACAGGAGCAUCUUGGAGGCCCUAGGCUGAGCACUGGGGGCUACAAAGGGGAGCAGACCAGACACAGUGUCUGUCCUCAGGGAGUGCACAGUCUGGGUUGUGAUCGCGUAAAAACUGUCACAGUGCUUCAGGCCGCUGUGAACUGAAGGGCCGUGCACUGAUGCAGGAUUUGACCUGCCCUGUCCCCAAGCAAGAGGAUUCACCUGACCUUGGUGGCCUAAGCAGGCACCGACCUAGGCAAAUCUAGGCCAGGUGUCAAGGAGCAGAAUGAACCACGGGCCAGCCAGCAGCACAUGCACAGCAGUCAGGCACGCACAGGUGCUUGAAAGAAGGCCGUGGCUGGCCGCUGGUGGGCGGGGGAGCUCGGGAGCUCACAGCAAGCCCCAUGCCUGUCUCCCACUGGAUGAAGCCAGAGGGGGUCUGGAACGCCCUUUCUCCUCUGGUCAGAUUGGGAACAAUUCAUAAUGAGCGGGGCUAAGACACAGAACAGCAGAGAGGCAGGAAAGAAGAAAGAGACCAAGGUGCGAGGAGCGGACAGGGAAAGAGACCUCAACAUGACCAGGGAUGGGAGGAGAGAACUCCAUUACUUAGAAACAGUGGCUGCUAUGCUGGGAAGUGUGGACUGUUACAGUGGGCUCUAAUUCCAGGAGGAACAAAAAGACCCCGCAUAUCACCAUGAGUCAGUCCUCUGAGUCGCCAUGACCCAUGACCUUGCUAAACAAGUGUGGGGCUGUCACAGCCUUAAGCAGCACAUCUCAAGUCUCACAUUCUCCAGUGCUAAGAAAACAGCUACACAGACAGAAUGCUAAGGAGAGCUCAGAAGUAGAAAACCCUUAAGAGUCCCCCCUUCCUUAGAUAGGAAAACUGAGGCCCAGAGAGGCAAACAAUGGGUCAGUAUGUGUGUCUAAACUUAUCUAAACAUAGAAGAGGUAUAGUAAAAAUACGGUAUUAGAAUCUGAUGGGAGCACCAUCGUAUACGCAGUCUGUAGUUGACCAGAACAUUGGUAUGCGGCACAUGACUGUAGAUCUUCUCAUUAAUAAUAGGCAACCUGGUCAGGUGCACGAAGUCUAGGGUUCAGAAUCCAACAGGCUCAAAUUCAAGUCCAGCUCAGCCACGUGGCUGAGUGCUGUCUGAACCUCAGCGUCCUCAGCUGUUAAACAGAGUUACGCAGUUCUUUUCCUUGCAGUUGCCAAACAAUAUUAUUUAUCUAAUGGUCAUAACACCUUAACAGUAAUAGAACUACUGAACAGCAGUGCUUACUCUGCUCAUGGAUGAGGUUUCUAGUUGUCUUCUGUUAAGCAGGUGGCCUUGAAUUCUGGCAGCUCACGCUUCAGAGUUACCUGUGGACACACGACAUCAUUCACAAAAUGUUCUUUUUCUCUCCAGUGUCUCUCGAGAAUGAAAAUGACCAGGCCAUCCUCACAUUCUACAGAGGUUAACCCAGCAACUUAGGGACACAGCUGGGGCAGGACUCCCGGGCUCCUGGUCAGUCCCUCUAUGGGGAUGCUAAGCCUCAGGGCUGACAUCUCUUAGCUCUGCCUUCCAGGGAGAAUUUCACAGGGCCUCCCAUUUGUGCUGCUGUGAAGGCCGUCCUGCUCCUUGUCAAGCCUGUCUUCUCCGUGGCUUGAGGAAGAUCUCUUUCGUGCCCAAAUUGUGAAUAAGUAAACUGGAUGCAGCAUCUCUGAUUGCUCUGGGAAGAAAUUUAUGAGAAGUGCCUGAGAAAAGUCAUGAUUUUAUGCCUCUGCUAAGCAACCUGUUGGACACUGCUUGGUAUCUACAGCUAAGUGGUUCCCUGUUCAGACCUGCUUCCUCUGAUUAGCAGCCACAGAUCUUCUGGGUUUUCACUUGUUUAUUUCUGUUUAUUGUCAUCUCUGGGAAGAUGGCUUCAAAUUUUUUAUCCCCCAAUUAUUUAACCCCAUAUCAAUUGAUAAGAAGAUCUUUUCUUUCUUUCUUUCUUUCUUUCUUUUCUUUUCUUUCUUUCUUCCUUUUUUUUUUUUUUUUUUUCGAGAUAGAGCCUCACUGUGUCACCCAGGCUGGAGUGCAGUGGGGUGAUCUUGGCUCACUGCAACCUCCACCUACCAGGUUCAAGCAAUCCUCCUGCCACAGCCUCCCAAGUAGCUGGGAUUACAGAUGAGUCCCACCACACCCAGCUAAUUUUUGUAUUUUUUUUUAUAGAGACAGGGUUUCGCCAUGUUGCUUAGGCUUGUCUGGAACUCCUGAGCUCAAAUGAUCUGCCUGCUUCGACCUCGCAAAGUGCGGGGAAGUUAUAAUUGAAGGGUGUGAUGGUUAAUUUUUGGUGUCAACUUGACUGGGUUAAGGGAUACCCAGAUAGCUGGUACAGCAUUGUCUCUGGGGAUGUCUUUGAGUGUGUUUCUGGUAGAGGUUGGCAUUUGGAUCAGUGAACUGAGUGAGGAAGGAAGAUUCAUCCUCACCUGUGUGGGCUGGGCUCCAUCCAAUCAGUUGAAUUCCUCAAUAGAACAAAAGGGCUGAGGAAAGGCAAAUUCACUCCCUUUUCUGAAGCUGGGACACCCUCCUUCUCCCGCGCUUGGACAUCAGCACUCCAGGGUCUCCAGCCGUCGGACUCCAGGACCUGCACCGAUGGCCCCUCAGGUUCUCAGGCCUUUGCACUCAGACUGAGCUAUGUCACCAGCUUCCCUGGUUCUCUAGCUUGUAGACAGCAAAUCAUAGGACUUCUCAGCCUCCAUAAUCAUGUGAGCCAAUUUCCAAAUUAAAUCCCCUCUCAUUUAUCUAUAUCUCUAUCUAUCUUAUUUGGUUGUUUCUCUGGAGAAUCCUGAUACAAAGGGUUUACAUUGAAUGUCAUUCGCAUAUGGUUAUAUAAAUAGUAGCCGUUUUAACACCCUCAUCUAAUUCUAUCAUGAAUGUCAUUUCUGGAUCUGUUUAUAUUGAUUGAUUUUUCUCCAGAUCCUAGGUCAUAUUAUCCUGCUUCUUUGCAAGCCCAGUAUUUUUGUUUGGACACGGGACAUUGUCAGUUUUGUACUGUUGGUGGCUAGAUUUUAUUAUAUUCCUUUAAACAGUGUUGUGCUUUGUUCUGAGAUGCAGUAAAGUUACUUACGAUUAGUUUGAUCUUUUUGAGCCUUGAUGUUCAACAUUGUUACGGCAGAUCCAGAACAGCCUUUGUUUUAGGACUAAUUUGUCACCUCUUUGAGGCAAUUCUCUUCUACUUUUCUCCUCGAUGUCCUGAAUUUUAGGGGGUCUUCCCAGUCUGGCUGAUGGAAAUGUAGUUUUUGUUGCAUAAAAUUUACCUCAAAACUUAGCAGCUUGAAUCAACAGGUAUUUAUUCCCUGCAGUUUCUUGUGUCAGGAAUCCAGGAGUGGCCCAGCUGGUGGCUCUAACUCAAGCUCUCUCGUGAGGUCGCAGUCAAGGUGAUGGCUGGAUUGGAGCCCUCUGACUGGGGCCAAAGGAUCUGCCUCCAGGACGGUGACUCACAUGGCUGUAGCCAGGGGCUCCAUUUCUUGCCUCAUGGACCUGUCCGGAGGCUGAUUGAGCAAUACAGCUUCUGGCUUUCCCCCAGAGGGGCUGACCCAAGAGAGAGCAAGCAGGAGCCACAAGGCUUUCUACACCCUAGUCUCUAAAGUCACAAACCAUCAUCGUCACUUUCACCACAUUCUGUCCUUUAGAAACAUAUUAGUAAGCCCAGCCCACAUUCAAGGGAGGUAGGUGUAGGCGCCUCUUUUUGAAAGGAAGACUAUCAGAUAAUUUAGGGAUCUAUUUCUAAGCUGCUCUCACAGACACACAAUAUCCCCAGGCCUGAGUGAUUUCUGGAGAUCGUUCUGCCUGCAAGCUCCUUCCUUGGUGGUUUCCUCACAUUCAUGUGCAGACCAGUACUCAGCUGAAGACUCAAGGCACUCCUUGCAGAUCUCUGAACCAUUCUCUGUGGCUCCUUCUUCUGCAGAUCUCUGCCCUGCAAAUUCUAGCUCCCUUGGCCUCCCGGAAGCCCACACUCCAUCUCCUGAGCUGGGCAGGCCCUCAGGCUCUGUUUGGGCUCCCUCUCCUGGCACUGCUGAGGUGGACACUUGUGAGGCUGCUCUUAUUGCUUCCCCUCUCCCAGGAAUCCCUGUCCUGUUCUGCCUAUUGUCCAGUGUCCACUAACUGUUGUUUCACAUACUUGUCCAGCUUUCCGGCUGUUUUUAAGACAGGAGGGUAAACCUGCUCCCUGUUAUUCCAUCAGGACCAGAAGUGGGACUCCCCAGCAGCGGUGCUGGCUCCUGAAAAUGAGUCAGCGGCCAUGUAGCAGAGGGGAGACUGACACCCUCCCCUCUUCUUCUUCUUUUUUUUUUUUUUUAAUUAUACCUUAAGUUGUGGGAUACAUGUGCAGAACGUGCGGGUUUGUUAUAUAGGUAUACACAUGCCAUGGUGAUUUGCUGCACCCAUCAACUCAUCAUCUACAUUAGGUGUUUCUCCUAAUGCUAUCCCUCCCCUAGCCCCCCACUCCCCAACAGGCCCCAGUGUGUGAUGUUCCCCUCCCUGUGUCCAUGUGUUCUCAUUAUUCAACUCCCACUUAUGAGUGAGAACAUGCGGUGUUUGGUUUUCCGUUCCUGUGUUAGUUUGCUGAGAAUGAUGGCUUCCAGCUUCAUCCAUGCCCCUACAAAGGACAUGACCUCAUCUUUUUUAUGGCUGCAUAGUAUUCCAUGGUGUAUAUGUGCCACUUUUUCUUUAUCCAGUCCAUCAUUGAUGGGCAUUUGGGUUGGUUCCAAGUCUUUGCUAUUGUAAAUAGUGCUGCAAUAAACAUACAUAUGCAUGUGUCUUUAUAGUAGAAUGAUUUAUAAUCCUUUGGGUAUAUACCCAGUAAUGGGAUUGCUGGGUCAAAUGGUAUUUCUGGUUCUAGAUCCUUUAGGAAUCGCUACACUGUCUUCCACAAUGGUUGAACUAAUUUACACACCCACCAACAGUGUAAAAGUGUUCCUAUUUCUCCACAUCCUCUCCAG